GACGUUCAUCCUGGCUCAGGAUGAACGCUAGCGGCAGGCCUAAUACAUGCAAGUCGAACGGUAAGGUCUCUUCGGAGAUACACGAGUGGCGCACGGGUGAGUAACGCGUAUGCAACCUACCUUUAACUGGAGGAUAGCCCCGAGAAAUCGGGAUUAAUACUUCAUAAUAAUAUAAAACGACAUCGUUUAAUAUUUAAAGCUCCGGCGGUUAAAGAUGGGCAUGCGUGACAUUAGAUAGUUGGUGAGGUAACGGCUCACCAAGUCCACGAUGUCUAGGGGUUCUGAGAGGAUUAUCCCCCACACUGGUACUGAGACACGGACCAGACUCCUACGGGAGGCAGCAGUAAGGAAUAUUGGUCAAUGGACGCAAGUCUGAACCAGCCAUGCCGCGUGCAGGAUGACAGCCCUAUGGGUCGUAAACUGCUUUUAUAUGGGAAGAAACUCCACUAUGUAUAGUGGACUGACGGUACCAUACGAAUAAGGAUCGGCUAACUCCGUGCCAGCAGCCGCGGUAAUACGGAGGAUCCAAGCGUUAUCCGGAUUUAUUGGGUUUAAAGGGUGCGCAGGCGGACUAAUAAGUCAGUGGUGAAAUCCUACAGCUCAACUGUAGAACUGCCAUUGAUACUGGAAACCUUGAGUGUGAUUGAAGUGGGCGGAAUGUGUCAUGUAGCGGUGAAAUGCAUAGAUAUGACACAGAACACCGAUUGCGAAGGCAGCUCACUAAGUCACAACUGACGCUGAGGGACGAAAGCGUGGGUAGCGAACAGGAUUAGAUACCCUGGUAGUCCACGCUGUAAACGAUCAUCACUCGCUGUUGGCGAUACACAGUCAGCGGCCAAGCGAAAGCGUUAAGUGAUGCACCUGGGGAGUACGGUCGCAAGAUUGAAACUCAAAGGAAUUGACGGGGGCCCGCACAAGCGGUGGAGCAUGUGGUUUAAUUCGAUGAUACGCGAGGAACCUUACCUGGGCUUAAAUGUAGAGCGACCGCUGCCGAAAGGUGGCUUUCCUUCGGGACGAACUACAAGGUGCUGCAUGGUUGUCGUCAGCUCGUGCCGUGAGGUGUCGGGUUAAGUCCCAUAACGAGCGCAACCCCUAUCGUUAGUUGCUAGCAGGUAAUGCUGAGGACUCUAACGAGACUGCCGGUGUAAACCGCGAGGAAGGUGGGGAUGACGUCAAAUCAGCACGGCCCUUAUGUCCAGGGCGACACACGUGUUACAAUGGCCAGUACAAAGAGCAGCUACAUGGUGACAUGAUGCUAAUCUCCAAAACUGGUCUCAGUUCGGAUUGAAGUCUGCAACUCGACUUCAUGAAGUUGGAUUCGCUAGUAAUCGCGCAUCAGCCAUGGCGCGGUGAAUACGUUCCCGGGCCUUGUACACACCGCCCGUCAAGCCAUGGAAGCUGGGGGUACCUGAAGUCCGUAACCGCAAGGAGCGGCCUAGGGUAAAACUGGUGACUGGGGCUAAGUCGUAACAAGGUAGCCGUA
rnacentral:rRNA from 1 species